GCUCUCUGGAUCAGUGGCGAACGGGUGAGUAACACGUGAGCAAUCUGCCCCUGACUCUGGGAUAAGCGCUGGAAACGGCGUCUAAUACCGGAUACGAGCUGCGAAGGCAUCUUCAGCAGCUGGAAAGAACUUCGGUCAGGGAUGAGCUCGCGGCCUAUCAGCUAGUUGGUGAGGUAAUGGCUCACCAAGGCGUCGACGGGUAGCCGGCCUGAGAGGGUGACCGGCCACACUGGGACUGAGACACGGCCCAGACUCCUACGGGAGGCAGCAGUGGGGAAUAUUGCACAAUGGGCGCAAGCCUGAUGCAGCAACGCCGCGUGAGGGACGACGGCCUUCGGGUUGUAAACCUCUUUUAGCAGGGAAGAAGCGAAAGUGACGGUACCUGCAGAAAAAGCACCGGCUAACUACGUGCCAGCAGCCGCGGUAAUACGUAGGGUGCAAGCGUUAUCCGGAAUUAUUGGGCGUAAAGAGCUCGUAGGCGGUUUGUCGCGUCUGCUGUGAAACCCCGAGGCUCAACCUCGGGCCUGCAGUGGGUACGGGCAGACUAGAGUGCGGUAGGGGAGAUUGGAAUUCCUGGUGUAGCGGUGGAAUGCGCAGAUAUCAGGAGGAACACCGAUGGCGAAGGCAGAUCUCUGGGCCGUAACUGACGCUGAGGAGCGAAAGGGUGGGGAGCAAACAGGCUUAGAUACCCUGGUAGUCCACCCCGUAAACGUUGGGAACUAGUUGUGGGGUCCAUUCCACGGAUUCCGUGACGCAGCUAACGCAUUAAGUUCCCCGCCUGGGGAGUACGGCCGCAAGGCUAAAACUCAAAGGAAUUGACGGGGACCCGCACAAGCGGCGGAGCAUGCGGA
rnacentral:rRNA from 1 species